rnacentral:rRNA from 1 species
GGGUCAGUAGGUCGGUCGUGCCACCGGUACGUACUGGCCUCACUGAUUCCUCCUUCCUGAAGAACCGUAAUGCCAUUAAUUUGGUGUUGCGGGGAAACAGGACUGUUACUUUGAAAAAAUUAGAGUGUUUAAAGCAAGCUAACGCUUGAAUACAUUAGCAUGGAAUAAUGAAAUAGGACGAUCGAUCCUAUUUUGUUGGUUUCUAGGAUUGACGUA